rnacentral:tRNA from 4 species
GGAGGGGUACCCAAGAGGCUGAAGGGGCGGGUUUGCUAAACCUGUAGUGGUGUCAAAGCCAGCGAGAGUUCGAAUCUCUCCUCCUCCGCCA